rnacentral:miRNA from 1 species
UCCUCCUCCCCUUCCACCC